AAUAGAUACCCAGGUAGUCCACGCCGUAAACGAUGGAUGCUAGCUGUUAGGAGUAUCGACCCUCCUAGUAGCGUAGCUAACGCGUUAAGCAUCCCGCCUGUGGAGUACGAGCGCAAGCUUAAAACAUAAAGGAAUUGACGGGGACCCGCACAAGCGGUGGAGCGUGUUGUUUAAUUCGAUGGUAAGCGAAGAACCUUACCCAGGCUUGACAUCCUGCCAAAGACUCCGAAAGGAGACUGUGCCUUCGGGCCGCAGUGACAGGUGAUGCAUGGCCGUCGUCAGCUCGUGUCGUGAGAUGUUUGGUUAAGUCCAUCAACGAGCGCAACCCCUAUGACUAGUUGUAUUUCUCUAGUCAGACUGCCCUGGCAACAGGGAGGAAGGAGGGGAUGAUGUCAGGUCAGUAUCUCCCUUACGCCUGGGGCUACAAACACGCUACAAUGGCCGGUACAAAGGGCAGCCAACCCGCGAGGGGAGCAAAUCCCAUCAAAGCCGGUCUCAGUUCGGAUUGCAGGCUGAAACUCG
rnacentral:rRNA from 1 species